GCAGGGCAUGCUAUCCUGCUCUGAGGAACAAGAGAGAGGAAAGGAGCAGGAGUGAUAUCGGGGUACCUAAGGAGCAAACCAGCCCAGUUUGAGAAGACAGGUGAUCAAAGCUUCCAUGCCAAUCAACAGCAGCUGUGAGUCCUAUUGUACUUUCAGCACAGGACCUUAGGACCCUGCUGUUCUCAGCCCUCCGCUCUGGGUGUGGCCCCGGGAGGAGUCCUCUGCAGAAAGCUCAGCCUGGCAUAGCGGGGUACGUGUUGAAGCCCCUGACACUGCAUUGCCCUUGGGGAAUUCAGAAUUCGGCCAAACAGGAUGUUUUAGAGGGGAAAUGUCUCAGGAAGCAAAGGUUCCAGGACAGGGGACGGUACAUCUUCCCCCCUCCCCCAAUGAUGUAAGAGGCUGAUUAUGCAUCACGCUGAAGCCUUAGCGAAAGGGGAGGGAUGCCGGAGGGACGGGAUGCCAAAUGCUACUAGAACUAACGGGCAACACCUGUUGCAAUGAAAACAGCUUCCUCUCCUUGACUCUAUGAGAAGUGUUUAUCUUUUGAAUUAGGAAAUGAUCCUCCCAUGUCUGAACAAGAUUCUAGGGAUACAAACAUGUGUCUGGA
rnacentral:lncRNA from 1 species